GCCCGGUUGGCAAAGUGGUAAUGCGUCUCACUCGUAUCACACAUGCAAUGAGAAGAUCCGUGGUUCAAUUCCGCGACUGGGCU